rnacentral:lncRNA from 1 species
UUCCCCUCCGCCACCAUCACCGCCUCCUCCUCCUUCUCCACCGCCACCAUCACCCCCGCCACCGUCGCCUCCGCCGCCAUCUCCACCUCCUCCUCCUUCUCCACCGCCACCAUCACCCCCGCCACCGUCGCCUCCGCCGCCAUCUCCACCGCCUCCGCCUUCAUCGCAUUCCCGUCGUGUCUCCAUUUCUAUGAUUGCAGUGACUAUUAUAACAUCUCUCUGUUAUUAGAUGGCUCAUUGGAGCUCCAAUUUGUAUAGCUGAGAGGUUUCCGUUUCGAGUUGUGAGUCUUUCAUUUGGAAUGGAAAUUUAUGCACAAGGCCACAGUGAAUGCCCUCGCGAGGCUCGUCCAAUCUUGCAAGAACUUGGAGGAGGGCCGAUGCCUCCACGCCGGG